GGCGCACGGGUGAGUAACGCGUAGGUAAUCUACCCUAAUAUUUGGGAUAACAUUGGGAAACUGGUGCUAAUACCGAAUACCCUUCUUUUCUGUCGGGUUAAGGAGGAAAGGUGGCCUCUUCAUGAAAGCUACCGUAUAAGGAUGAGCCUGCGUACCAUUAGCUAGUAGGUGGGGUAAAGGCCCACCUAGGCUACGAUGGUUAGCGGGUCUGAGAGGAUGAUCCGCCACACUGGAACUGGAACACGGACCGG
rnacentral:rRNA from 1 species